rnacentral:tRNA from 1 species
AGGGGUGUGGUGUCAACGGUAGCACAGCGGUCUCCAAAACCGUUAGUACGGGUUCGAAUCCUGUCACCCCUGCCA